UCUGUCAUGAGAUCAAUCACUGUCAGCCACAAUGCACAACAAUUAAAUUCAUAAAAAAAAUGUCAUCACCUUAUCAGAAAGAACAUCCACUGUCGUGUCGAAAUUGAUCCAGCAGAAGCCGCACUCUAUGGAAUGGAGGUUCUACGGGCCCCUGCUGCUGGCCGUGGUGAUGUUCCUGUUGGUGGGCACCAUCAUAGAGAGGAGGAUCGAGAUCGCCAUACGACGUAUCAUGGAGCAGCGCCGAGUGAUGCUUCAAGAAGCUGAACACGCAAACCAUGACGUAACAAACGCCACAACGAUGACGUCAUCACAGCGUAAUGUGGCUGCUUGCAGAACACAAAGCAGUCCUACAGUAAACAAUCAACAAAAAGUUUUAAAGACUUAGACAAGAUGAGAAUUACUUUUGAAAUUUACUUACACAUAUUAUGAUGUCUAAGUUUGCUAACAAAAAAACAAUAUCAUGAAAGCAGCUUAAAUUUAAAUGAUACAAUGUUUGCUGCUUCUGUUGUUAAAAUCAAUUCGACAAACUACUUGAAGAUCAAAAGUUGGGUGACCAAGAAAGUAGCUUCGAAAAUUAUGAGCAUUUCAUAAUCCCUUGAUUUUGAACUAUUUAAAUAAAAUGGUGAACUCUCAAUUUAUGGUCAAACAAUUUUCGUAAGAUUCUUGUGAAUAGAUUAAUAGUUCUUGACUUAAAGAUAAUUCAGUAAACGUCUUGAAACUUAAUGAUAA